AACGGUGUCGUGGAACGAAAGCGAUAUCUCAAUCGAACUAAUUCAAAUGACCACUUUUGAACACGCUUUUUGAUGACCUCGUCCAUAUAAGUUCGACAUUUACUGCCACUUACCGCUAUUAAUGAAUAUACCACUGUUAUUCAUUCGGUUCAACUUCAACGAGUUAAUUGCGGUAAAAUGUAUUUUGCGCUAUAAGUGCAUCAUCUCAUGUAAAAUUUUUAGCCUAUAGUAACGAAUUGCUGGCACAUCGUUCUGUAUAUGAAAAGGCACCUUGAGAACUUCUUAAAUAUUCAUAUAGUAUUUCUUCUACAUCACAGAUAUACCUUAUGAAUUCAAGAAGAAAUGCUUAGAAUAGGGUCAUAAAAUAUCCACCAGCUGCUAGGCCACUAUUUGGUCAUAAACUAGUUCCAAAAAUGCAGGAACAAAAAUAAGGAAAUAAACACGAAAAAGUUCGGCAGCUUGACAAAAAUUAAAGAUAGUGCAACACCCAAGCCGAGAAACGAAACACGAACCGGAAAUGUCUGUUCCGCGACAACCAAAGGCAAGA